UAUUAAGGAGUUAUUACCUUUUGUUCAGGUGAUCCGGCUGGACGGGGGGGAGUACGUGUCGAUGGCCGGAGAGUUUAACGAGCUGCGGCGGGUGACCCCGGAACAGUGGAAGACGAUGGAGGCGAUGAUCAGAGGCACCAAAGGAUCCUAAACACAGCGACCAGUCUGAGCGCAGAGUUCCUUCUGAUGUCAUCAUUAUGAGACGAUGUUGAUGUUUUGAUACGAUUGAUCUUUGAGCUUGUAGCAGUCUUACUGCACAUCCUCAGUGUGAACACUUAUAAAACAAAUAAAACUCUUGCGUUUAUUUGGGUUUAGAUUUGUUUUGCAGUGUAUAAUGCCACACACACACACACACACACACACACACAUACACACACGUUCACUUACCAUUACUAACAUCUGUGCUAUUGUUAAUUCAUCUGCCGCUUGUAAAUCGCUGCUGUCUGAAUUUUAUUAAAACGCUUCUGCAGUUUUUCUAUUAUUCAUUUUUUGCCAUUGUUGUGGAAAUUCCACAAUGAAUCACCUUCUGGUUAUAAAUGAAUGAAUAAAGAAGUUUAAACCAA